AAGACUGUGCUUCACAGGAUCAUUUCUGUAGGCAAGUUUUCACCACACGUUUUUUCCGACAGGAAAAGAUAUCCCACCCACGAUGAUGAGAAGUAGUGCCCGGUCUGGAGCGUGAAACUUGGUUUGGAUUUGUUCUAUCUUUUUAAGAUGGAUCUCCUUGCCUUUGAAGAUCGGCUCUCUUGCAAGACUAGGUCGCGUUCUGAGUGGU